CUGUCCCUAGAGUUCCCCUGAACACUUCACUGGAAUUUCCAUGGCAACUCUCAAGUCAAGUGAGGGUAAUGCUAGCCCACUGAAGUGUUUGGGGGAACUCUGGUUGCCAU
rnacentral:pre_miRNA from 1 species